rnacentral:rRNA from 1 species
UACAGAGGUGGCAAGCGUUGUUCGGAAUUACUGGGCGUAAAGAGCGCGCAGGCGGUCGUUCAAGUCGAGUGUGAAAGCCCCCGGCUCAACUGGGGAGGGUCACUCGAUACUGAUCGACUCGAAGGCAGGAGAGGGAAGCGGAAUUCCCGGUGUAGUGGUGAAAUGCGUAGAUAUCGGGAGGAACACCAGUGGCGAAGGCGGCUUUCUGGCCUGCUCUUGACGCUGAGGCGCGAAAGCUAGGGUAGCAAACGGG